AUUGAACGCUGGCGGCAGGCCUACCACAUGCAAGUCGAGCGGAGCGGCGGACGGGUGAGUAAUGUAUGGGGAUCUGCCCGAUAGAGGGGGCUAACUACUGGAACCGGUGGCUAAUACCGCAUACUAUCGGAUGCACCCAUAUGGGAUUCGCGAGUAGGUGGGGUAAAGGCUCACCUAGGCGACGAUCUCUAGCUGGUCUGAGAGGAUGAUCAGUCACACUGGAACUGAGACACGGUCCAGACUCCUACGGGAGGCAGAAGUGGGGAAUAGUGGACAAUGGGCGAAAGCCUGAUACAGCCAUGCCGCGUGUGUGAAGAAGGUCUUCGGAUUGUAAAGCACUUUAAGUUGGGAGGCGUUACCAACAGAAUAAGCACCGGCUAACUUCGUGCCAGCCGCCGCGGGAAUAC
rnacentral:rRNA from 1 species